CAGCCCCGGCCGCUGGGCGCACCCGUCCCGUUCGUCCCCGGACGUUGCUCUCUACCCCGGGAACGUCGAGACUGGAGCGCCCGAACUGAGCCACCUUCGCGGACCCCGAGAGCGGCGGCGCGACUCACCGCGGAGGCGCCCGGACGCGUCAAGGAGUGGAUUUCAGGAUUCCUCUAAGAAGCUUUGGAAUGCCAGAAGAUACCACAAGUGAGAAGAAAAAAUAAAACAAGAGGAAGGAUAUACUUCCCAUAAGGGGACAAAGUACAGCCGCAGUGUCCUCCGCUUGGGCCAUGGAACAGCUGCAGGUUUUGCCCUGAUUACCCUGGUGGUAAAGUCUGAUUGGCUAUGAUUCCCGGUGUCCAGAAGAUAAACACGGGCGGUGCAGCGGAGCCACACGCAUGCCUGUGCAUGGCCACGCCAGUGUCCUACGGGCCUGAUGGAAAGGUGGCAGGCGAAAUGCACCUGGCCUCAGCGUCAGGGGCUGUGAAUGCAGUAGCACUUGUAGCUAUGAGGUCAGAGUGGACUAGGAUGGUCCUUCCACCAAGAAGCCUGGGCCUUCCUGCUCUUCGUUGUCCAGCUGCAGAAACUGAUCUCAUCCCUCAGGGCUUGGCACAACUGCCCCUUCCUCCUCACAUUCCCAAAUAUACCUACCCCUCCCCAACUCAAUCCUCCUCACCAGACUGUGGCUCCAGGAUGACAGGGCAGAGUUGGACUCACCUGUGUCUGCCAGGCCAGCUCACCGUGGGGGCAGGUCCCAAGAGGCCUCUGGAUUUGGACCAACUUCCAGUGUGACCUUGAACAAGGCCUUCGCCUCCCUCAGCCUCCGUUGCAUGAGGGGUUGUGCUGGCACAUCUCAGAGCAGGUAGCGCUACCUGGUGAGUUGAGGGCUCUGUCCAUCAUCUUUGUCACUGUAAUGCUGGGUAACAAAUAAACACGAAACAAUGAGUGCUCG
rnacentral:lncRNA from 1 species